UCCUCAUAGUGGUUUGCACGUUACAUUUUCUGUCAUAUUGUAUAUAAAUAUAUACAGCUCAGCUUCCCAAAAAGUAAAUUAUUUAUAAUUAAAAAGGUCAUGAAAGCAGACUGAUUUGAUAUGAGUAUAAAAUAUGUUGAUAUUAAAGCAUAUUGUUUGAUUGCGAUCUUACUCAUAAGCCAAUUAAGUUGUUCAUCGCUGUAUUCCUCGUUGUACUUUAAGCUUCUUGUUGUGGGUACGCGAACGACGUCCUGCUCUACCUAACCCACUCACACAACCACCGACAGUGUUGCUUCGGCCUGGAGAUUUUCCCGAGCCAUGGAACCGAGCCGAGCGCUAGUGAGCCUACACGUGCUCUGCACGUGAUCUUGGAGGGGUCCGGGCGCUCGCACACGAAUUAUGAGACGGACGCAGUUUUAAGCACCAAAUCUUAACCGUUCACCCACAUUCCCGACCUGACUUCUGGUUCCGUGGCCCACUACGUUGGUCGCACCUAUCCAAUCGUAAGCCAGGUAAUCCGUCGUGGUGAGUCGUACGUGUGUGUUAGGUUCGGUCGCACCGUCACGCGCGUCGGCGUCGACACUCGGUCUCUGCGUGUACACUUGUCGUUGUGCGACCGCCCGUCGAGAGAUGACAAGUGUCGAAAGCCUGUUUGCUGUCUGGUAGAAGGCAGCCGAAUGCUGCACCGGAACAGUGACGCCGUCUACUCCACGUCGGACUCUUCCUCGUUCCACUAUUUUGGCCUUGCUUCGAUCCGACGGUCCCUAUCGCAUUCUCCGAGACCGAUAAAGACCCUCCUCGCCGCACGCCUCUCGCCGUUUCCUCCUUUACCAGAUGUCGAAAGCGUCAGAGGUGGCGGAGGCCGUCGAGUCCAAGAUCUUCCGCCUCUUCGGCCGGGAGAAGGCCGUCCACCGGAUCUUGGGUGGCGGAAAGCUGGAGCUGAUUGUAGCUGAGAUCCAUGGAGUUGUAAUUCGAUCUCUCACAUCGUUUCUUGAGGCACGACUGAGGAUUUGCAUCCGUUUUCUUGAAAGGAAAAAAGAAGAAUCCUGGGACGUUUGGCCCUUGUUAUUAAAUGUUCGAGAACGUAAAACCCUAAUAUGGGCUUUUUGUUCCGGUGAUGAUCCACGUCGUCCUCGCUAGUCAAUUGUAUGGAGCGUGAAACCCUAGGUUGAUCUUUUGACAUCACGGAACCAUAAAGAUCCACAUCGGGAGAGAACACGAAACCCUGAUUUGAUUUUGGUUGAUCAGCGUGAAACAUCGUUUCCAUCUUCUUUUCUUGGUUAAUGAGAUCAUCAACAUCUGUAUGUACUGGAUUUCUUGGAGAAUUUAUUUGCACACCACUGUUGUUGUUUCUCAUAAACGGUUGAAUCAUAUGCAGCGGCUGAUGGAAGAAGAAGAAAACCUCGGCCGCUGUGCUCAGUGGGGCCACACCCGUGUGGGUCUGGUUUGAGUUGAUGGAAUACCAUUUGCUUAGUUUGGUCUGCCACUGCCUGGUAUCGUCCCUUGCCAUCCUUUUCCUGUGGUCCGAUACCUCCACCUUCAUCAACAAGUCUCGGCCUCACGUUCCUGAAGAUCUGGCAGUGAACAUUGCGCUUUCUCUCAGAUAAGAGAUCAACAGAGGGUUUGGCAGUUUAAAGGGAAAUUGCAACAGGGCGUGAUCUGAAGAAAUUUCUUGCAGUAUGCCACUUGAUAUAGUGUUUUGGAAUAGGUGAUUGCUGGGAUGUUGGGCUCUCUCUUUCAAUCGUUGGGAGCUGCUGCAAUUUCUUGACUUUGUUUUACAUAGGUAAAAUGAUCGUCAGAUUUCUACUGGAUUUCAGUUCACCUAUGUCAUGCUUCACACUAUGCCUUUUCUAUAUGAUUGAGUAUGAAGUCCAAGAGUUUGAGCAAGAUUCAAUAGAUAAAAAAAGUUUCAAUAGAUAAAAAGGUAUUAAUUGUUUUAGAUGGUUACUUGAUAACUUCGAUCUUACUAUUUAUUUCAUUUUGAACUCUCUUUUUAGUCCUAAACAAGGUGUCUGGUCUCUGACAGUUCCGAUGGGAUAGGUGGGAGCAAUUCAGGUUUUCAUGACAUGGAUCAUACUUAUGGUGCCAUAGCCAUACUAAGCAUCAGCAUUCCAUUGUAUACCAUUUCUGCUGAAGGUCUAAUUCCACUGA